AUUGAACGCUGGCGGCAGGCCUAACACAUGCAAGUCGAGCGAGCGGCCGACGGGUGAGUAAUGUAUGGGGACUUCCCGUUCGAGGGGGAUAACUACUUGAAACGGUGGCUAAUACCGCAUACUCACGGAUGACCCAUAUGGGAUUAGCUAGUAGGUAAGGUAAUGGCUUACCUAGGCGACGAUCCCUAGCUGGUCUGAGAGGAUGAUCAGCCACACUGGGACUGAGACACGGCCCAGACUCCUACGGAGGCAGCAGUGGGGAAUAUUGCACAAUGGGCGCAAGCCUGAUGCAGCCAUGCCGCGUGUAUGAAGAAGGCCCUAGGGUUGUAAAGUACUUUCAGUCGGGAGGCGUUACCGACAGAAGAAGCACCGGCUAACUCCGUGCCAGCAGCCGCGGUAAUAC
rnacentral:rRNA from 1 species